UCUUGAGUAUGGUUGAGGCAGGCGGAAUGUGUUGUGUAGCGGUGAAAUGCAUAGAUAUGACACAGAACACCGAUUGCGAAGGCAGCUUGCUAAGCCAUUACUGACGCUGAGGCACGAAAGCGUGGGGAUCAAACAGGAUUAGAUACCCUGGUAGUCCACGCCGUAAACGAUGUUCACUCGCUGUUUGCGAUACACAGCAAGCGGCUAAGCGAAAGCAUUAAGUGAACCACCUGGGGAGUACGAUCGCAAGGUUGAAACUCAAAGGAAUUGACGGGGGCCCGCACAAGCGGAGGAACAUGUGGUUUAAUUCGAUGAUACGCGAGGAACCUUACCUGGGCUUAAAUGUAGACUGCAUAGGUUAGAGAUAUCCUUUCCCUUCGGGGCUGUUUACAAGGUGCUGCAUGGUUGUCGUCAGCUCGUGCCGUGAGGUGUCGGGUUAAGUCCCAUAACGAGCGCAACCCCUGCCGUUAGUUGCCAUCGGGUUAUGCCGGGAACUCUAGCGGGACUGCCACCGUAAGGUGAGAGGAAGGCGGGGAUGACGUCAAAUCAGCACGGCCCUUAUGUCCAGGGCUACACACGUGUUACAAUGGCCGGUACAGAGGGCAGCUACUUAGCGAUAAGAUGCCAAUCCCUAAAGCCGGUCCCAGUUCGGAUUGGAGUCUGCAACCCGACUCCAUGAAGUUGGAUUCGCUAGUAAUCGCGCAUCAGCCAUGGCGCGGUGAAUACGUUCCCGGGCCUUGUACACACCGCCCGUCAAACCAUGGGAGCUGGGGGUACCUGAAGUCUGUGACCGCAAGGAGCGGCCUAAGGUAAAACCAGUGACUGGGGUUAAGUCGUAACAAGGUAACC
rnacentral:rRNA from 1 species